ACAUGCAAGUCGAACGAGACCUUCGGGUCUAGUGGCGCACGGGUGCGUAACGCGUGGGAAUCUGCCCUUAGGUACGGAAUAACUCAGAGAAAUUUGUGCUAAUACCGUAUGAUGUUGAAAGACCAAAGAUUUAUCGCCUAAGGAUGAGCCCGCGUAAGAUUAGCUUGUUGGUGAGGUAAAAGCUCACCAAGGCGACGAUCUUUAGCUGGUCUGAGAGGAUGAUCAGCCACACUGGGACUGAGACACGGCCCAGACUCCUACGGGAGGCAGCAGUGGGGAAUAUUGGACAAUGGGCGAAAGCCUGAUCCAGCAAUGCCGCGUGAGUGAUGAAGGCCUUAGGGUUGUAAAGCUCUUUUACCAGGGAUGAUAAUGACAGUACCUGGAGAAUAAGCUCCGGCUAACUCCGUGCCAGCAGCCGCGGUAAUACGGAGGGAGCUAGCGUUGUUCGGAAUUACUGGGCGUAAAGAGUACGUAGGCGGUGAUUCAAGUCAGAGGUGAAAGCCUGGAGCUCAACUCCAGAACUGCCUUUGAAACUAGAUCGCUAGAAUUGUGGAGAGGUUAGUGGAAUUCCGAGUGU
rnacentral:rRNA from 1 species